CUGGAGACUCCUCUUUUGUUUCCUUAGAUAUUUAUAGACCCAUGAAUUAUGGUCAUCUGGGUCUAAAAGACAUCCACUUCUUUGUGUACUCACAGAAUGACAAAAUAACUUAUACCUGACCAAGAUGGCUGCCAUUUCCAGCACUUUCUAGAGUUAUGAAGGUUUAUGACAGGCCACUCUCUGUUUCUAGGUUAUUGUAUCUCCAUGUGUGUACUGAUUUGAUUGCUGGUUCUUCUUCACAGGUUGCCUAACAUUGGCAACACUUGCUUCCUAAAUGCCACCCUGCAGUGCCUCCUGGUCCUGCCUUCCUUCUCAAAGGAAAUCCUACGCCAGGAACAACUCUGGAACUCCUCCCCCUUCUCCAACCUGCUCAGUGGCGCAAACCAGGCCUCAAAAGCAGACCUCAUGUGGAAGGUCAAGUACUCCUUGUCGGGAUAUGAUUUGAAGUAUCUGGGGGACACGCAACAGGACGCACACGAGUUACUUGUGAAUAUGCUGUGCUGUGCCAGCUGAAGGAGGAGGGAAUGAUACUGAAGACACUCGGGGUGAACUAUACCUGCCCUGUUUCCCAGCUGGAGUUCCAGCUUGUCUCAGUGCGCACAUGUACCAGGGCGAAAAGGUUGAAUGAAUUCACAUGUGCGGGCUGCAAAGGCCUCUACAGCUCAAAAGUGGAGCAGUUCCACACACUGCCUCUUGUGCUGGUUCUGCACCUGAAGAGGUUCGGAGGACCUGGGGGGUUGGAGAAGCUGGAGACUCCUCUUUUGUUUCCUUCGGAGCUGAGGCCCUCCACCUUCUGUGGGGACACGGUGCCACCCCUGCACAGUAGCCCAUAGGCCCUCACCAACCAGACCCUCGCCAGCCAAGUCUCCAGCCCACCUGGAGAGGCCAAAGAUAGCGACCUCUGCUGUUCAGGGCACUACAUUAGUGACAUCUUGAAUGCAAGUGGAAACUGGUUCUACUGUAACCACAGCCAGGUGUCAAUGUCCAAUGAAGCCACUGUGUGAAGCCACUGUGCUGAGGACCAGAGCCCAGAGUGCUUACCUGCUCUUCUAUUUGUUCAGGGCAGGAGAGGAGGCCCCAGCGCGCCGGGCCAAACAGGGCCACCAGUCCCAGCCUCAACAGGGGUAGUUCCAGGCCCAGACUCAACACCCUCAGACCUGCCUCGACAGGGGUAUAACCAGGCCCAGUCUCAAAACCCCCAGCCUCAACAGGGCACUGACCCAGCCUCACAUCCCCAGCCCAACCUCAACACCUCCAUGUUUGCCCCUCUUCAUGUUUUUCCCUGACAACAUUCCCACUGUUGUGUAAAAGGAAAGGAAUCAGACCUCCAACCCCCCCUACAAAAAAAUGAUGACUGGUCUGUCAAUCAUGCGGCUCAAGGGAGACUUGAUCUUCAACACUAGCAUGAGCAUCCUUUUCAGUGACAUAUGUCAUAAAUAUCUGCCCUUGUUUUGACUUCACCUAAUCUAUAAAUCGGAUGUAAAAAAUAAAGUAUACACACUAAAUGUAGAACACAUGUAAAUGUGGGGGAUAGAGUCUCGGAUUAUUUAGAGCAUGGGCGUCAAACUCUGGCCCGUGGGCCAAAUUUGGCCUGCGGGGUAAUUAUAUUUGGCCCGCGAGACAAUACCAAAUUACUACUACUACAAAUUACUACUAGAGCUGGCCCACCGGUAUUAUACAGCGCAUUCACCACUAAUACUACGAAUCCCAUAAUGCUCUGCUGUUUUCGCGCGCCAAUCAGGACAGGACCCAGAAACGCUCGCUCCUCUGUGACAGUAGUCAUAGCAACAUAGACGCUACAACUGUCAGCGAGCUAACCCUUCCCAAAAAUGGCGAAAAGAAAGGCAGAAAACAGGAGCUUUCUGGACAAGUGGGAGGCAGAAUAUCAAAAGACAAACCUUGUGGAGUCAACGUGGCUGUAAGUAAGGAGUACAACAUUAGACGACACUAUGAAACGAAACACCAUGACAAAUACAAGGACCUGGA